UACAAACGAUGGGACAGUGGAUUACAAAGGAAAUCCUGCUAAUAAGAAGAAAACUGGAACCUGGAGAACCUGCCCGUUUAUCAUAGGUAAUCACGGAACCUAGUAGUUGAAAUCUGUGAUUAAAGAUAUAUCAAGAUUGAUGUUUAGUUUAAGCAUUCUAUCAACAGGAAAUGAAGUCUGUGAAAGAUUGGCAUAUUAUGGGAUGAGCACCAAUCUGGUGCUUUACUUUAAGCACCAGCUAAAUCAGCAUAGCUCAGUGGCUGCUACUAAUAACCAGAACUGGGGUGGAACAUGCUACAUUACACCAAUAAUUGGAGCAUUUCUGGCUGAUUCUUAUCUAGGAAGAUAUUGGACAAUUGCCUGUUUUUCAAUCGUCUAUAUCAUUGUAAGUUUUACUUACCUGGUGCUUGUUAUUUAGUCCAGUAUUACCAAGUUCUUCGAAAAAUUUAUCUAUAUCUUGGUUUUUGAGACAAGAAAAGUUUUACCUUUUGCACAGGGAAUGACGCUUUUAGCUUUGUCUGCAUCAGUUCGCGGCAUAAGGCCGAGAUGCUAUGCAGAAGAUAACUGCAAUCCAACUGAGGUGCAAAGCGCGAUGACCUUUCUA
rnacentral:lncRNA from 1 species